GGGAGUGGCAAGCGUUAUCCGGAAUUAUUGGGCGUAAAGCGUCCGCAGGCGGCCUUUCAAGUCUGCUGUUAAAACGUGGAGCUUAACUCCAUUAUGGCAGUGGAAACUGAUAGGCUUGAGUAUGGUAGGGGCAGAGGGAAUUCCCGGUGUAGCGGUGAAAUGCGUAGAUAUCGGGAAGAACACCAGUGGCGAAGGCGCUCUGCUGGGCCAUAACCGACGCUCAUGGACGAAAGCCAGGGGAGCGAAAGGGAUUAGAUACCCUGUAGUCCUGGCCGUAAACGAUGAACACUAGGUGUCGGGGGAAUCGACCUUCG
rnacentral:rRNA from 1 species